UGGGGAAUUUUGGACAAUGGGGGAAACCCUGAUCCAGCCAUCCCGCGUGUGCGAUGAAGGCCUUCGGGUUGUAAAGCACUUUUGGCAGGAAAGAAACGUCAUGGGUUAAUACCCCGUGAAACUGACGGUACCUGCAGAAUAAGCACCGGCUAACUACGUGCCAGCAGCCGCGGUAAUACGUAGGGUGCAAGCGUUAAUCGGAAUUACUGGGCGUAAAGCGUGCGCAGGCGGUUCGGAAAGAAAGAUGUGAAAUCCCAGGGCUCAACUUUGGAACUGCAUUUUUAACUACCGGGCUAGAGUGUGUCAGAGGGAAGUGGAAUUCCGAGUGUAGCAGUGAAAUGCGUAGAUAUGCGGAGGAACACCGAUGGCGAAGGCAGCCUCCUGGGAUAACACUGACGCUCAUGCACGAAAGCGUGGGGAGCAAACAGG
rnacentral:rRNA from 1 species